rnacentral:rRNA from 1 species
AACGAACGUUAGCGGCGCGCCUAACACAUGCAAGUCGAGCGAGAAAGGGCUUCGGCCCCGGUACAGCGGCGCACGGGUGAGUAACACGUAGGUAAUCUACCCCCGAAUGGUGGAUAACCCUCCGAAAGGAGGGCUAAUACAGCAUAAGACCACGGCUUCUUUGGAAGCUGAGGCCAAAGCGGGCCUCUUCACGAAAGCUCGCGUUUGGGGAUGAGCCUGCGGCCCAUCAGCUAGUUGGCGGGUAAUAGACCACCAAGGCUAAGACGGGUAGCUGGUCUGAGAGGAUGAACAGCCACACUGGAACUGAGACACGGUCCAGACUCCUACGGGAGGCAGCAGUGGGGAAUCUUGCGCAAUGGGCGAAGGCCUGACGCAGCGACGCCGCGUGAG